UCCCAGCGGGAGUGGGCGUGGCCGCGGUGGCUGUUCCGCGUUCUCGCUGGAGCGGAGGAGCUGCCUGGCUUGGUCUCGGUGUCGGUGGGGAUGUUUCUGUCCGGGGCAGGCGCCAGGCCGCGAGCAGGCGAAGCCAGCGCCUCAGAACGCAGGAAAUGGGUGGAAGUAUUUAAAGCUUGCGAUGAAGACAACAAAGGCUACCUAAGCCGAGAGGACUUUAAGGUUGCGAUUGUAAUGCUGUUUGGGUACAAACCCUCCAAGAUAGAAGCAGAUGCUGUGAUGUCUUCAAUAAAUCCCAACACUUCUGGUAUAUCACUUGAGGGGUUUUUGAAUGUCGUAAAGAGAAAGAAGGAAGCGCAGCUCUAUCGGAAUGAGAUAAGGCGCAUCUUCACAGCUUUCGACGUGCACUAUCGUGGAUUUUUAACUCUAGAAGAUUUCAAGAGGGCAUUUAGUCGAGUGGCUCCCAAGCUGCCAGCAAGGACAGUGCUGGAGGUGUUCAGCUCCCGCUCUGCCCACCAGCCCAUCUGUUCCCAUCACACUGCGAUCCAGCGUGAGUGUCGCAGUCUCUCAGAGAAUACUGUUGGUGGUAAUAAAAACCGGAGGCAGAUCAAGACUCAGAUGGUCACGUCAGCUUCCGAGACUUUGAAUACGCCAUGAACUAUGGGCAGGCGAAAUGAGCCGGAUGUUUGUGAACUACGUUUGGCGAUUCCAGACAGAUCGAUGAAUUGUAGUCUAGUUGAAGGUCAUACAAACCUCAAUCUAGGAAGGGUAUACAGCUGUGUACCUUUCUAGGUGGUUCUGCUGUGCAUCUGAAGCUUCAGCCGUCCUAAAGCUAGGAGUCUGAGGCACAACAGACAGCAAGGCAUCUGAAAUACCGAUCGUGUCGUCCAAGAAUAAGGGAGUAGUCUCUUCUUACCACGGAUGUAGGAAACAAGAAGCGAGUCUGGAAAUGGCCACUGAGCAACUUCCCUACUGGAUUGGCCAAGACAUUUUAUCUCAAUGACAGAAAACUACCCCAAGAGAAUUUACUUUGAGAAAUUAAAGAGAAAAGAAAAUUACUGAGGUAAUUUAUGAAACCUAGUGGAGGGAGGGUAGGGUGCAGCCAGGUUCCAGGACCCACAGCCCCUCCAGUUUCGCCCUCCUUCCUGUAGUUACCAGCCUCCUCAAAAAUGUAGUUAUACCAUCCUCAAAAAGCACUGGUCCACGAUCCCUCCAGAUCCAAAUUCAGAGCAUCCCUGAGGGCUCAAGCUCAAGCAGCCACAGCUGGUCAUAGCGAUGUUGACGACCUGCGUCACCUUUCUGGCUGGGAGCUCUUCGAAUAAGAUACAUACCCUGGAGUCUGCCAUUCAGGAACAUCCCAGCUCUCAGAGGAAAGAAGAAAGAGAGGGUGACAGAGGCUAGCUAGCUACCCUUGCACCUUCUUGUCCUUAACCUUUGAUUUUAAGAUUCAUCCUCUUCCUUAUCUGGGAGGAGCUUUCCCAGCCUCAGGACCCAGUCCCCAUACCACUGCCUGUGCAGUGUGACCUUGCAGGUCUGAUACCAGCUGGGUGACCUGAAAGGUAGGCAUCUGGUCCUGAUGAUAAUCUCAGUCUCGGCUCUUGGAGGACGUCAAGACUGGGAGUACAGUUCGAUGCUGCUCUGAGUGGCUGAGUGGAUAUGACUCAAGAGCCGGUAGCAGGCAUAUAUUUUCAGUCACAAGGCCUGGAAAAUCCAAGCAGCUGCUUUGCCAUGAGCAUAGAGGGGCUUAAAAAUAGACAGAGAGAGGGGACAGGAAAGGAGAAGCAGCCCCGCAAUGCUUGGUUUCUGCUUAGAGUUUGAAUGCAAGACCCAAUCCUAGCGCUUCGGGUCCUGUGAGGUAACUGCAACCUUCCAAUAAAUCUUUCUGCUCAAGCCAGCUGGAGUUGCUUUCUGUCAUUUGAAACCCAGAGAACCUUUACCACAGUGAGCUUCCAGCCAAGCACAGAGUCCUAGGCGACAUUAGCAUUUGUGGGGCAAGCAAAGAAGACUUUUCCAAAGAGAAAAAGAAGCUGCAGUUGGAGAUGGCACAGGAUAGUGCCAGCAUUGCUGUCCCGACCUUUCUCUGAGCCUGUCACUUGUCCCGCUCUGGGCUUCCCUGCUGCAGCAGCUUACAGUGGUUACCCGUGAGCUGCCAUUGGGCAAACAUAGCAACCCCUCUCGGACCUCAGCUCACCAUUCCUUCUCAUGGGUCUGAGGUGGUGGCAGGGCCUUUGGAGGCCUCUGGCAACUUUCAUGACACAGGUUUUUUGUGCUAUUUCUGCGCCCAUUUUUCCUGCUGUCUUCCCCAGAUUCCUGCUCCAGAACCAGUCUAUAAGUGUGAAUAUUUUCCCAAAUCCUGUGACUGGCCAGUCUUUUUUGAUCAACACAUUCCCCAAGGAUGAUUUCAUCCACAGCCAAGAGUCCUCUUCCACCCCUGAUUGAUAGGACUCCCUGCACAAGGCUUUGUCUUUGAUCUUGACCUCCAAUCAACUCCAGCCUGGCCUGUGUUUUCACUCGCCAGCCAAACAUUCCCACCUCGGUGCGGACUCUCUGAACUAAAAUCAGAUGCAUUGUUCCCCCCAAUCUUCAAACUUGUUUUCCUAGCCUGUGUUUUCUAUUUCCGUUGAUGACAACCUCCCCACCCAUCCCCCACCCAAGCUGUCAUCCAAGCCAGCUGCCUCAGAGUCUCCCCUUCUCCCCAUCUUCCCUGGCUCUGACAUUCAGUCACAGAAUCCUUUCGAGCAUGUCCUUGUAAAACGUUCCUGAUUUUCUUUUCCAUUCCGUCCAGAUCUUUCUGCCCAUGUCCUUAUUCCUCCCCAGCGCUUCCAUCCAGUAACUUGUUCUUUUGCUUAGUCUGAUAAAGAUGAGUGUAAGGUGCAUACAAAUACUGCUGUCAAGAGAUUUUACUCUAGUGUGUCAAGGACAUCCCUAAAGCACAGACAAAAUGACUUUCCAGUGCUGGAGCUUCCAGUGGCCAUCUCUUCUGGCAGACAGUGCCUAGCCCUGUAACAUGCAGUUCAAAGCCUGCUAUAUUGGGUACCAAUUCAUAUUUUCAGUGUUGUUGUCCAUGACUCCUCCUGCCAUGUCACCCAGCAUCUACAGAGGUACACAUGCAGUCCAUCACUUAAAAACACAAAAACUUGCAACAAAUCUUUGUUUAGCAUAGAACAGUAAUAAUCAUGGGAUUAGUAUCUGAUGAAAUAAAUAAUAAGAAAGUAAAAAUAUCAAAAACAAAAUUUAGGGCCUUGGAAGAUAGCUCAGUGUAUGCCCAUAGGCAUGAGGACCUGAGUUAGAGCCCCAGAAUGUACAAUAAAAAACUAAGUGUGCUGGUGAGAAGUCCCAGCUCUAGAGAAACAGUACAGUCCCCUGAGCUGAAUGGCCAGCCUCACCAAAUCAGUGAACUCCAAGGUCAGUGGGAGACCCUGUCUCAAACAAUGAGUAGUUCCUGAGGAAGUUGACCUCUGGCUUCUUCGUGCCUGCACACAGGUGCACACAUACCCAUAUGAAC